UGAAAUUAUACAGGCACAGGUAUCCAAUAUUGGGGAUUCAAAAGGGAAGACGGUGAGAUGCCGUCGCGGUCCCGCCGCUGUAAACGGGGACGAAAACCGCCGGUUUGCCACUGGUCCGGAAUCAACGGGCCGGGAAGGCGUGGUGAGUAGGCUGAUCCGUGAGCCAGAAAACCUGCCUGCGCCUCAGGGGUUCU
rnacentral:ncRNA from 2 species